UUUCCUUAGGAGGAAUCUUCGCUUGCUGCUGCUGGUAUCUGUGGUCUUAACAACAGCCUUGCAAGGAAAGCUGUGGCUGUAUUUUGGAAUAGUUUAUAGAAUCCUAAAAUUGGAGGAGAGACCCCCAAAGGCCAUCUAGUCCAACCCUUUUCUGCAAGGCAGGAAGACACAAUAUGAUCCCUCCCAACAGAUGGCCAUCCAGCCUCUGCUUAAAAGCAACCCCAUCAGCAUAGAUUUUGCUAAAAGGAGGAGAGGCAGGAAGACACAAUAUGAUCCCUCCCAACAGAUGGCCAUCCAGCCUCUUUUUAAAAGCAACCCCAUCAGCAUAGAUUUUGCUAAAAGUUGACCCAAGGAUCAUCUAGUCCAACCCACAUCUACCAUGCAAGAAAACACAAUCAAAACCCUCCCGACAGAUGGCCAUCCAGUGUCGGCUUAGAAACCUCCUGAGAAAGAACCUCUACCAGGCAGCAAAUUAUUAUUAUUAUUAUUAUUAUUAUUAUUAGGAAACUCUACCAGGCAACAGCAUAUUAUUAUUAUUAUUAUUAUUAUUAUUAUUAUUAUUAGGAAACUCUACCAGGCAGCAGCAUAUUAUUAUUAUUAUUAUUAUUAUUAUUAUUAUUAGGAAACUCUACCAGGCAGCAGCAUAUUAUUAUUAUUAUUAUUAUUAUUAUUAUUAUUAUUAUUAUUAUUAUUAGGAAACUCUACCAGGCAGCAGCAUAUUAUUAUUAUUAUUAUUAUUAUUAUUAUUAUUAUUAUUAUUAUUAUUAUUAUGUUUUCCGCUCACAAACUGCUCUGAUCAUUGGAGCUGUCCUUGUGGGUAAAGUUGUUUCCUAAGAAUGCAUCCGCACUGCAGAAGGAAUGCAGUUUGACACCACUUUGGAAUGUCUCGAGGCUAUGAAAUCCUGGGAGUUGUAGUUUUGCAAGGCCCUUAGCCUUCUCUGCCAAAGAGAGCUGGGACUUGCGCACAGAUUGUUGGAUAGAAUCCGAAUCAUCGAUGGCCCAAACGUCCAAUUAGAAAUACCUGGUCAACUGUGCCGAUAAGGAGACACACACACACAUAUAUAUGGCUGCUUUGAGUCCUUAUAGAGAGAAAAAGUAGGGUACAGAUAAACACCAUAAUAAUAAUAAUAAUAAUAAUAAUAAUAAUAAUAAUAAUAGCCUUCGGAGACAGAAGAAGAGAGGAGAGAAGAGUGGAGCUUCAGAUACCUUUCUUUGGUAGUUUUUGAACUGCCUUCGGAGACAGAAGGAGGGAAGAGAGAAGAGUGGAGCUUCAGAGAUUUUCCUUUUGUAGGUUUUGAACUGCCUUCGAAGAAAGAAGGAGGGAGAGAAGAGUGGAGCUUCAGAGACCUUCCUUUUGUAGUUUUUGAACUGCCUUUGAAGAAAGAAGGAGGGAGGAGAGAAGAGUAGAGCUUCAGAGCUUCUUUCUGUAGCUUUAGAACUGCUUUCGGAGACAGAAGGAGGGAGGAGAGAAGAGUAGAGCUUCAAAGAAUUUCCUUUUGUAGGUUUUGAACUGCCAUUGGAGAAACAAGGGAAGAGAGAAGAGUGGAGCUUCAGAGACGUCCUUUUGUAGUUUUUGAACUGCCUUUGGAGAAAGAAGGGAAAGAAGAAUAGAGACCUUCCUUUUGUAGUUUUUGAACUGCCUUUGGAGAAAGAAGGAGGGAAGAGAGAAGAGUGGAGCUUCAGUGACGUCUUUUUGUAGUUUUUGAACUGCCUUUGGAGAAAGAAGGGAGAGAAGAGUAGAGCUUCAGAAACGUCCCUUUAUAGUUUUUGAAUUGCAUUCGGAGACAGAAGAAGGGAAGAGAGAAGAGUGGAGCUUCCGAGACGUCCUUUUGUAGUUUUUGAACUGCCUUUGGAGAAAGAAGGA